CCUACGGGUGGCUGCAGUGAGGAAUAUUGGUCAAUGGCCGGAAGGCUGAACCAGCCAAGUCGCGUGAGGGACGACUGCCCUAUGGGUUGUAAACCUCUUUUAUAAGGGAAGAAUAAAUGCUACGUGUAGCAUGAUGCCUGUACCUUAUGAAUAAGCAUCGGCUAACUCCGUGCCAGCAGCCGCGGUAAUACGGAGGAUGCGAGCGUUAUCCGGAUUUAUUGGGUUUAAAGGGUGCGUAGGCGGUUUUUUAAGUUAGUGGUUAAACGUCGGGGCUUCACCUUGAUUUGCCAUUAAUACUGUAAGACUCGAGUUCAGACGAGGUAGGCGGAAUAAGUUAAGUAGCGGUGAAAUGCAUAGAUAUCACACAGAACACCGAUUGCGAAGGCAUCUCACGAAUCCGCGAUUGACGCUGAUGCACGAAAGCGUGGGUAUCAAACAGGAUUAGAUACCCGGGUAGUC
rnacentral:rRNA from 1 species